AAAAUCCGUCGACUUUAAAAAUCGUGAGGGUUCAACUCCCUCUAUCCCCA
rnacentral:tRNA from 1 species